UACGAAGGGGGCGAGCGUUGUUCGGAUUUACUGGGCGUAAAGGGCGCGCAGGCGGUCUUGAAAGUCAGGCGUGAAAGCCCCGGGCUUAACCUGGGAAUUGCGCUUGAUACUCUGAGACUGGAGUACGGGAGAGGAGAGUGGAAUUCCCAGUGUAGAGGUGAAAUUCGUAGAUAUUGGGAAGAACACCAGUGGCGAAGGCGGCUCUCUGGGACGGUACUGACGCUGAGACGCGAAAGCGUGGGGAGCGAACGGG
rnacentral:rRNA from 1 species